CAGUUAAAGUAGUCUGAAAAUAAAGUUGUGAUAUUUUACAUUCCCAGGUGCAGAACUUAGAGAAAGCCGGAAUUCUCAACAAAACAAAAGUGUGUGAGAACGGAAAGAAAGUGAGGAAAAACUGGGCCCAGACAUGGACAGUGCUCCACGGAGGAGUGCUGACGUUCCACAAAGACCCAAAGUCUGCAGCAGCAGGGGCCUCGAACAAGACCAAUCAGAUUGUUCCGGAGGUCACAGUGGACCUGCGCGGAGCAACGAUUGGCUGGGCCUCAAAGGACAAAUCCAGCAAAAAGAAUGUUUUAGAGGUGUGUGUCAGCUGAUAAUGCAGU